UUGUUUUUUUUUUUUUUUUCAUAAACUCCUCAGUCUCCGGUGGUUCUUUAUUGCAGUGUGAGAAUGGACUAAUACUCUUAACAGGGACAUUUAUAAACAGGCCAUGUGAGGACACAGCACCCCAUUCCUGGGCUGUGUCAUCUUAGAGCAGGGUGGUCUCUCUGAAGACCGGGCUGUCUGCAGAGUGCGUGACAUCCAUCUGCACCCAUCUCCUUCCCAGGGACAGCCUUUGCUUCAGUUCUUCAUGUGGUCACCAAGGAGCAAAGCUCAGAGACAAAAGGCAUUCUGCCCAGACAGCCCCAGGCCUUAUCAUCCAUCUCCUGUUGGUUCUGAGGAGAAGAUGGGAACCAGGCUGGUUUUUCCCAGGGCAGGUUCGAUGUGUGAAUCCCCCACCGGGUGGUGAAAGCGACAAGCUCUCUGUCCCGUUUGCUUUCUAAACUGAAGUAAAUAACUCAGGUCCUUAAUUUUUCAUUUUUGUGGUUAAUCCUGUUUUCAGACAUAUCACAGACAUGGAUGAAAGGUCAUGUUUCUCAGACAUCAAGUUAAAAACCAAUAGUGACCACAGUCAUGAAAGAACAUUCAGCCUGAGACAAAAGGGGUUAACGCACAGGGAAGAUAACGACGGUGAGACCCGCCACCUGCAGUCCGGACUCUUAUGAUGCCCUGUCCGCUUACCCAGUAUCACUGCCGUCUCCCCAGUUUGCUGCCCUGAACUCAGAAACAGAAUUUUAACACUGGCCUAAAGGAUGGUGAGAAAUGAACUCCUGGUUGCCGACCAGACUUCCCCUUCUCAUCCCGACGACGCGGGACAUAGGGUAGACGGUCCCAAUGCCGAGGAGCAGUAGGAGGACCAGCACAGGAGCUUGCAAGCAAGAGCCCAGAGCAAGAGCCCCUCUCCCCUGGUGUCCAAGGAUGGUUCUGCUGACCCAAGGGAGGAACACAAGAAGGGAAGCUUGAGAUGCUACAAACAACAAAAUGGCACCCUGUGUGCAAAUCCUGGUGAGUGCACUUGUGGGUGCUGCAGCCACAGGCUCUGGAAGACACCCCUGCCUGGGCGAGCCAUCCAGUCCUUCUCUUGCUGUUGGGGCCUGGAUGCUCCAGCAGGGGCAUUGGGCUGGGGUGACUCUUCUUUGCUCUGACUUGAUGUGAGCCCAGUGGCUGCUUUGGAAGUGUCACCCUCAGGGGGUUUUGGUUGGCCUAAGAAUCAAUAUUUAUAGGGUGUCCUGCAUUGUGUGUUUUCUAUUUGUAAUUCUCAAGCAUGGCUCCCAUUUCACUUAGUAUCCAAAGGAGUAAGAAAUCCUCACGUUGGAUUCCAUGAACCUAGGAACCCCAGUGUCUUCUGAACAGCCUUUUCCUCUUUGUGUUCCCAGCACACAAACUGUUAGAAAGAUUUAUGUUAGAAUCCACCCAGCAUCUGCUACCCAGAGCCUAAUUUUGCCCUCCCUCUGAACUGAAUUUUUAAGUUUUAAGUCAAAUACUCGCUGAUGUUUGCGCUUCCCCACUUCAUGCAUAUUCUUCACCUGAGCCCCUGCACCUGGGGAGCAAACCCCUGUCCUGGAGGAAGCCUGAUGCGCCACCUCCAUUGUUAGAAAGCUCCCUCAGGCUGACGUAACCCUGUCCUGGACCUGGAGGAAGCCUGAUUCACCGCCUCGAUUUUUAGAAAACUCCUUCAGGCUGUCCUAACCCCAUCCUGGACAUGGAGGAAGCGUGAUUCGCCACCUCCAUUGUUAGAAAGCUCUCUCAGGCUGACAUCACCCUGUCCUGGUCCUGGAGGAAGCCUGAUUCGCAGCCUAGAUUGCUGGAAAGCUCUCUCAGGCUGGCGUCACCCUGUCCUGGAGGGAGCGUGAUUUGCCGCCUCCACUGUUAGAAAGCUCUCUCAGGCUGAGGUAACACUGUCCUGGUCCUGGAGGAAGCCUGAUUCACCGCCUCCAUUGUUAGAAAGCUCUCUCAGGCUGAGGUAAGAUUGGCUUCCCCGCCGCUUCUCCCUGGAGACCCUAGUUCUGCUCUUUGAAGCCAAGCAAGAUUACUCUUUAUAGGGCAGCUUUGCCUUUAUUUGUAGAUAGCUUUUACACAUAUUUGCUCCCAAAUCAACAAGGUUUUCCCCAGGUACCACCUGGACUAUUCUUCUGUCAGCAUUUCUCACGUGAUACUGAGUCAGGAGCCUUUACUGUCCUCACCCUCGUGUGGGUGGGAGCCUGGUUUCUCAUCACUCUGGUUAGACUGUGCCUAAUGUGGGGUGCUGCUUUUUAAGGACAAUCAGCUCUAAGUUGAGGCUCUGAUUCUUGCACGUGCUUCCAAGCACGUCUCUUCUUGCCAUCUCCAUUGCCACCCCAAAGUCACUCCCCUCGGACAGGGACGGCAGCAUCUCAGUCAUCACUCUGUACCCCAUUUGACCAGCUGGAGAGUCCUGUGUCUUCACACAACUGUGAGAAUGAUCAUUGGAAGCUAUGCAUUCCAUAAUAGCUUUAUGUUAAAUUCAUUUCUCAUCUUUCAUUGGCCCUUGGGAAGACGUCCAGAUCCCUUAACAUAGCUUACGAAACCCUCUCAAACUCAGGGCCCACCUUUCUCUCCAACUUCAUUCCCCCAGCCCCGACGUCAUCUGAGGUUCAAGUUCAGUAGCCCCUCUUGAUAGCUGAGCACAGGAAGCUCAGGGCCCUGCGUUUUGGGCAUUUGAAGGGUUCCGCUGGUCGUGGCUUUCCCCACCAUCUCCUCCGUUUCCACACGACUUGCUCCUGCAUACCUCAGCUUCAGUGCCGCUCCGAGAGGCCUUUCCUAAUGUCUGAACCAGGAGAGGCUUCCCACCACAAGCUCCUCUAUGGGAUUCUGGUUAAUUACCAGUGAAACGUCCACCUUUCCAGCCCGCCUGUAAGCUAGGCCAUAAUAGGGGCCGUAGCCCUCCUUACAGCCGCGUUCUUGUCACCUGCGCGGUGUCCAGCGCACACUCGCCUCCUACGUAUUUGCCUUGUGAGGGAUCAAUCGGUGUCGUAGAGCCGUUCAGAGCUAUUCCUCUAUUAAGUGAUUUGGAUACCAUGGUGACUAAGAAGCAUGCUGUGAUCGCUGGGGUUUAUGGAAAUAUUGUGUGCUCCUGAGCGUUCAAACAGGUGGAAUAUCAACUUUAUUAAGCCCAGGUGGUGGUGCAGUUUAAAUGCGAUUUCAUCUUUUCUUAUUUUAAUUUACGAAUUGCUCAGUUGAUCAUAUUAGAAAAGAGUACCCACAUUGUGCCUGCUGGAGCCAUAUCUUUGUAAAAAUUCUGAAAGCAAGGGGAAAUGUUGGAGUAAAAUUAUCACAUUUCCUAACAAUGUCUGUUUUGACUGGAAGCUCUAAUGCAUAAUUUUGUGUCAACCAGAAUAAAAGUAAUCUUUUUUUUUCCU
rnacentral:lncRNA from 1 species